GCCUUUCUGAGGGUAACCUGAGCGGGAGAAGUUGUUGCGCCUGAUCUCAAACAGCCUUUCGCACGGAAAAGGAUUCCUAAAAGUGGGGUUACUCCUCCACAGCAAUAGCGUCCUUAAAAUAGGGGCUCCCGGCUGGGCGCGGUGGCUCACCCCUGUAAUCCCAGCACUUGAGAGGCCAAGACAGGCGGAUCACCUGAGGUUGGGAGUUCGAGACCAGCCUGAACAACAUGGAGAAACCCCCUCUCUACUAAAAAUACAAAAUUAGCCGGGUGUGGUGGCGCAUGCCUGUAAUACAAGCUACUCGGGAGGCUGAGGCAGGAGAAUCGCUUGAACCUGGGAGGCGGAAGUUGCGGUGAGCCGAGAUGGCGCCAUUGCACUAUAGCCUGGGCAGCGGCAAGAGCGAAACUCCGUCUCAAAAAAAAAAAAAAAAAAAAAACUAUAUAUCUAUCUAUCAUCUAUCUAUCUAUCUAUCUAUCUAUCUAUCUAUCUAUCUAUCUAGGCUGCCGGUGAGGACGUGAGGCACGUGCCACUGAGCCACUGAGAAUUUACCCCCCUGGGCAAGUCUGUGAGGCCAGGGCCCCUAGGGAAAAAAGCCUUUCCCAGAUUUUAGGGCUCAUAUGCCUGCAGUGGGUUGGUAGGGAUCGGGGAAGAUGAUGAGGUUGGGAUAAGGAAGUGGUACCAAUAGAAAGACUAAGCAAACCAAACCAAAUCAAACUUUCCCCUUUCCAUCCCUGUCCUCCUCUUUGCAAUCCCAUUUGGGUGGCUGAAGGCAGACCCUGACCAGAGCCAUCCUUGCCGGCUUCUUUUGUCUUGCUCUGUGGGGAAACGAGUGAAGAAAAAAGCAGAAGGAAAGGCAAGUGAAAUGGAGCCCUCUGUGAAGAACUACGACUAGGGUCACACAGAGCAAAAUUCCUAGCCUUCCUUUGAGGAGUAGCCGUAUUUCCAUUUAAAAAGGACCCACUUUAUGCAAGAUUCAGGGCUGGGAAUUGGUCCUUCCUGCCUCAAGAAUUUCAAAGACUUCUAGAGGAGAGUGUCCAAAGACAGACAAGAAAGUGGCCAGUGCCCUGAAGAAAGUCAGGGGGUCCAGGGGAGUGUGAACCCUGAAUAUCUGAGACAGGUCUCAGUUAAUUUAGAAAGUUUAUGUUGUCAGGGUUGAGGAUGUGUGUCGGUGACACAGCCUUAGGAAGUCCUGAUGACAUGUGCCCAAGUUGGUCAGGGCACAGCUUGGUUUUAUACAUUUUAGGGAGACAUGAGACAUCAAUCAACAUAUGUAAGAUUAACAUUGGUUCGGUCUGGAAAGGCGGGACAACUUGAAGCAAUGGUGGGACAACUCCAAGUGGCGAGGGGGCUUCCAGGUCAUAGGUAGAUAAGAGACAAAUGGUUACUUUCUUUUGAGUUUCUUUUUUUUUGAGAUGGAGGCUCGCUCCUGUUGCACAGGCUGGAGUGCAGUGGUGCGAUCUUGGCUUGUUGCAACCUCCACCUCCCAGGUUCAAGCGAUUCUCAUUCCUCAGCCUCCCGAAUAGCUGGGAUUACAGGCAUGUGCCACCACGCUGAGCUAAUUUUUGUAUUUUUAGUAGAGACGGGGUUUCACCAUGUUGGCCAGGCUGGUCUCGAACUCCUGGCCUCGGGUGAUCCAUCCGCCUCGGCCUCCCAAAGUGCUAGGAUUACAGGUGUGAGCCACUGUGCCCGGCCUCUUUUGAGUUUCUGAUUAGCCUCUCCAAAGGAGGCAAUCAGAUAGCAUUUAUCUCAGUAAGCAGAGGAGUGACCGAAUAGAAUGAGACGUAGGUUUGCUCUCAGCAGUUCCCAACUUGACUUUUCCCUUUAGCUUAGUGAUUUUCGGGCCCCAAGAUUUAUUUUCCUUUCACAGGUAUCCCCUGUUCAGUUCAGACUGAACCUGAGGGGGUGUAGGGAUGUACUCCAGGCUGGAGUGAAGUGGCAUGAUCUCGGCUCACUGCAACGUCUGCUUUCUAGGCUCAAGAGAUCCUCCCAACUCAGCCUCCUGAGUAACUGGGAUUUCAGGUGAGCACAACCAUGCCCAGCUAAUUUUUGUAUUUUUAGUAGAGACGGGGUUUUGCCCUGUUUCCCAGGCUGGUCUGGAACUCCUGAACUCAGGUGAUCCACCCACCUCGGCCUCCCAAAGUGCUGGGAAUACAGGCGUCAGCCACUGUGCCCAGCCAAAUUCUACGUCUUUUAAAAAAUUAAGAGAAGAAAUUAGUAAAAUACACUUAAAGUUUUUCGUAUGAAACUUAUUUAGUGUUUCUGAUGAUUUGUUCUUGUGGAUUGGACUUACAAUCUGAUGUGGUUCCUUUGUUUCAAUGUAACUCCAUCUUUUCCCUAUCCUUUGUACCAUUAUUGUCAUAUGUGUGUGAGUGCAUAUAUACACACACAUUAUCUUUAGAUGUUACAAACCC
rnacentral:lncRNA from 10 species